rnacentral:rRNA from 1 species
GAUGAACGCUGGCGGCGUGUCUAAUACAUGCAAGUCGAGCGAACAGACGAGGAGCUUGCUCCUCUGACGUUAGCGGCGGACGGGUGAGUAACAUGUGGAUAACCUACCUAUAAGACUGGGAUAACUUCGGGAAACCGGAGCUAAUACCGGAUAAUAUAUUGAACCGCAUGGUUCAAUAGUGAAAGACGGUUUUGCUGUCACUUAUAGAUGGAUCCGCGCCGCAUUAGCUAGUUGGUAAGGUAACGGCUUACCAAGGCAACGAUGCGUAGCCGACCUGAGAGGGUGAUCGGCCACACUGGAACUGAGACACGGUCCAGACUCCUACGGGAGGCAGCAGUAGGGAAUCUUCCGCAAUGGGCGAAAGCCUGACGGAGCAACGCCGCGUGAGUGAUGAAGGUCUUCGGAUCGUAAAACUCUGUUAUUAGGGAAGAACAAAUGUGUAAGUAACUAUGCACGUCUUGACGGUACCUAAUCAGAAAGCCACGGCUAACUACGUG